UACAGAGGGGGGCUAGCGUUAUUCGGAAUUAUUGGGCGUAAAGGGCGCGUAGGCGGCCACGCGUGUCUUUCGUGAAAUCCCUCGGCUUAACUGAGGACGUGCGGAAGAAACUGCGAGGCUUGAGUCCGGGAGAGGGGGGUGGAAUUCCCAGUGUAGCGGUGAAAUGCGUAGAUAUUGGGAGGAACACCGGUGGCGAAGGCGGCCCCCUAGACCGGUACUGACGCUGAGACGCGAAAGCGUGGGGAGCAAACAGG
rnacentral:rRNA from 1 species